rnacentral:lncRNA from 1 species
AUGUUAAUCUAUCUCUGUCCCAGGAUAAAACUUAUUGACCUUUUCUUUCAGCUUUUUCUUGGGGAAGAUGACUUCUUGUGUUUUCCUUUUUUUAUUUAUCUUUUGAGACACCUGCAUAUAACGCUACUCUGUUUGAUAAUAUACUUUUUCGUUUAUUAUUGUUUGUUGAGAAGGUUCUCCGGGCCGGGUAUUUUUUCCUUUUAAGGUGCUCUCCGUUCAAAUUCCUUUAGUAAUUUUCGAUGAGGUGGGAGGAUACCUUGCAUCCGACUCAAUUUCUGGGUCUCCACACUAUACUCAAUUAAAACGAGAACGUUUUUCUUUUUAAAAAUUUCAACUUCAUUUUUUGAACAUUUUUCUGCAUUUAAAGUUUUUGUAUUUUCUGCUCUCGCUAUAAAAAUCUAAUCCACUACAAUUCGCUGCAAAAACAAUCGUUCCUUAAGACAUAACUAAAAAUUUAUGAAUAAAAAAGUUUUUUCUAUUCCACAUACUUGAAGAAUAAAAACUUAUUUUUUUAUCCAUGAACUGAAUGGAACACAAAUUACUCAAU